rnacentral:sRNA from 1 species
AUCUUAUUUAAAUACGCACAUAUACCGACACAUGUGAUUGGGUGCUGAUUUAAGCAAAAAUACUUAAGAAAGUAUCGGCUUAAACAGUUUUUUGCAUGGGGUGUAUGGAGGCUUAAC